rnacentral:rRNA from 1 species
GACGAACGCUGGCGGCGUGCUUAACACAUGCAAGUCGAACGGUAAGGCUCCAGCUUGCUGGGGUACACGAGUGGCGAACGGGUGAGUAACACGUGGGUGACCUGCCCUGCACUUCGGGAUAAGCCUGGGAAACUGGGUCUAAUACCGGAUAGGACCGCACCGUGAGGGUGUGGUGGAAAGUUUUUUCGGUGUGGGAUGGGCCCGCGGCCUAUCAGCUUGUUGGUGGGGUAAUGGCCUACCAAGGCGGCGACGGGUAGCCGGCCUGAGAGGGUGGACGGCCACAUUGGGACUGAGACACGGCCCAGACUCCUACGGGAGGCAGCAGUGGGGAAUAUUGCACAAUGGGCGGAAGCCUGAUGCAGCGACGCCGCGUGGGGGAUGACGGCCUUCGGGUUGUAAACUCCUUUCACCAUCGACGAAGGGUUUCUGACGGUAGAUGGAGAAGAAGCACGGGCUAACUACGUG